rnacentral:rRNA from 1 species
UGCAGUCGAACGGAUUCAGGGGCUUCGGUUCCUGGAUUAGUGGCGCACGGGUGCGUAACGCGUAUGCAACCUACCUUCCACUGGGGGAUAGCCCCGGGAAACCGGGAUUAAUACCGCAUAAGACAGCGGCACGGCAUCGUGCAGCUGUUAAAGUUUCGGCGGUGGAAGAUGGGCAUGCGUGCCAUUAGCUAGUCGGCGGGGUAACGGCCCACCGAGGCGACGAUGGCUAGGGGCUCUGAGAGGACGGUCCCCCACACUGGUACUGAGACACGGACCAGACUCCUACGGGAGGCAGCAGUAGGGAAUAUUGGGCAAUGGCCGCGAGGCUGACCCAGCCAUGCCGCGUGCAGGAAGAAGGCCUUCUGGGUUGUAAACUGCUUUUAUCGGGGAAAAAACGCCCCUGCGGGGGUAACUGACGGACCCGAUGAAUAAGCACCGGCUAACUCCGUGCCAGCAGCCGCGGUAAUACGGAGGGUGCGAGCGUUGUCCGGAUUUAUUGGGUUUAAAGGGUGCGUAGGCGGCCCGUUAAGUCAGCGGUGAAAUCCCGGGGCUCAACCCCGGAACUGCCGUUGAUACUGGCGGGCUUGAGUUCGGUCGAGGCGGGCGGAACUGGCGGUGUAGCGGUGAAAUGCUUANAUACCGCCAAGAACCCCGAUUGCGUAGGCAGCUCGCUUGGCCGANCUGACGCUGAGGCACGAAAGCGUGGGGAGCGAACAGGAUUAGAUACCCUGGUANUCCACGCCNUAACGAUGAUGACUCNAUGUCGGCGACACACUGUCGGCGUCCAAG